rnacentral:rRNA from 2 species
UAUGGCUGUUCGCCAUUUAAAGUGGUACGCGAGCUGGGUUUAGAACGUCGUGAGACAGUUCGGUCCCUAUCUGCCGUGGGCGUUUGAGAGUUGAGAGGAGCUGCUCCUAGUACGAGAGGACCGGAGUGGACGAACCUCUGGUGUUCGGGUUGUCAUGCCAAUGGCACUGCCCGGUAGCUAUGUUCGGAAUCGAUAACCGCUGAAAGCAUCUAAGCGGGAAGCGAGCCUCGAGAU